rnacentral:piRNA from 1 species
AAGGAAGAAACCUUCCAGAAACUACCUGUU